GACGAACGCUGGCGGCGUGCUUAACACAUGCAAGUCGAACGGAAAGGCCCUGCUUUUGUGGGGUGCUCGAGUGGCGAACGGGUGAGUAACACGCGAGUAACCUGCCCUUGACUUUGGGAUAACUUCAGGAAACUGGGGCUAAUACCGGAUAGGAGCUCCUGCUGCAUGGUGGGGGUUGGAAAGUUUCGGCGGUUGGGGAUGGACUCGCGGCUUAUCAGCUUGUUGGUGGGGUAGUGGCUUACCAAGGCUUUGACGGGUAGCCGGCCUGAGAGGGUGACCGGCCACAUUGGGACUGAGAUACGGCCCAGACUCCUACGGGAGGCAGCAGUGGGGAAUAUUGCACAAUGGGCGGAAGCCUGAUGCAGCAACGCCGCGUGCGGGAUGACGGCCUUCGGGUUGUAAACCGCUUUCGCCUGUGACGAAGCGUGAGUGACGGUAAUGGGUAAAGAAGCACCGGCUAACUACGUGCCAGCAGCCGCGGUGAUACGUAGGGUGCGAGCGUUGUCCGGAUUUAUUGGGCGUAAAGGGCUCGUAGGUGGUUGAUCGCGUCGGAAGUGUAAUCUUGGGGCUUAACCCUGAGCGUGCUUUCGAUACGGGUUGACUUGAGGAAGGUAGGGGAGAAUGGAAUUCCUGGUGGAGCGGUGGAAUGCGCAGAUAUCAGGAGGAACACCAGUGGCGAAGGCGGUUCUCUGGGCCUUUCCUGACGCUGAGGAGCGAAAGCGUGGGGAGCGAACAGGCUUAGAUACCCUGGUAGUCCACGCUGUAAACGGUGGGUACUAGGUGUGGGGUCCAUUCCACGGGUUCCGUGCCGUAGCUAACGCUUUAAGUACCCCGCCUGGGGAGUACGGCCGCAAGGCUAAAACUCAAAGGAAUUGACGGGGCCCCGCACAAGCGGCGGAGCAUGCGGAUUAAUUCGAUGCAACGCGUAGAACCUUACCUGGGUUUGACAUGGAUCGGGAGCGCUCAGAGAUGGGUGUGCCUCUUUUGGGGUCGGUUCACAGGUGGUGCAUGCCUGUCGUCAGCUCGUGUCGUGAGAUGUUGGGUUAAGUCCCGCAACGAGCGCAACCCUUGUUCACUGUUGCCAGCACGUUAUGGUGGGGACUCAGUGGAGACCGCCGGGGUCAACUCGGAGGAAGGUGGGGAUGACGUCAAGUCAUCAUGCCCCUUAUGUCCAGGGCUUCACGCAUGCUACAAUGGCUGGUACAGAGAGUGGCGAGCCUGUGAGGGUGAGCGAAUCUCGGAAAGCCGGUCUCAGUUCGGAUUGGGGUCUGCAACUCGACCUCAUGAAGUCGGAGUCGCUAGUAAUCGCAGAUCAGCAACGCUGCGGUGAAUACGUUCCCGGGGCU
rnacentral:rRNA from 1 species